AGCAGCCGCGGUAAUUCCAGCUCCAAUAGCGUAUAUUAAAGUUGCUGCAGUUAAAAAGCUCGUAGUUGAAUUUCGGGACUAAUAUGUCGGUCGUGCCUCGGUACGUACUGGCUUAUUGGUUUCUCCUUUCUGAAGAACCAUGAUGUCAUUUAUUUGGUGUCGUGGGGAAUCAGGACUGUUACUUUGAAAAAAUUAGAGUGUUUAAAGCAGGCUCACGCUUGAAUACAUUAGCAUGGAAUAAUGAAAUAGGACGUUUGAUUCUAUUUUGUUGGUUUCUAGGAUCGACGUAAUGAUUAAUAGGGAUAGUUGGGGGCAUUAGUAUUCAAUUGUCAGAGGUGAAAUUCUUGGAUUUAUUGAAGACUAACUACUGCGAAAGCAUUUGCCAAGGAUGUUUUCAUUAAUCAAGAACGAAAGUUAGGGGAUCGAAGACGAUCAGAUACCGUCGUAGUCUUAACCAUAAACUAUGCCGACUAGGGGUCGGAUGAUGUUAAUUUUUAAUGACUCAUUCGCGCCUUAAC
rnacentral:rRNA from 1 species